GAUGAAGAACGUCAGCAAAAUGCGAUACUUGGUGUGAAUUGCAGAAUCCCGUGAACCAUCGAGUUUUUGAACGCAAGUUGCGCCCGAAGCCUUUUGGCCGAGGGCACGUCUGCCUGGGCGUCACGCAUCGCGUCGCCCCCCACAAUUCUCCGUAAAGGGAACGUGUGUUUUGGGGGCGGAUAUUGGUCUCCCGUGCUCAUGGCGUGGUUGGCCGAAAUAGGAGUCCUUUCGAUGGACGCACGAACUAGUGGUGGUCGUAAAAACCCUCGUCUUUUGUUUCGUGCUGUUGCUCGCAAGGUAAACUCUUUAAAAACCCCAAUGUGUCGUCUCUUGACGACGCUUCGACCGCGACCCCAGGUCAGGCGGGACUACCCGCUGAGUUUAAGCAUAUCAAUAAGCGGAGGA
rnacentral:misc_RNA from 1 species